UGGGGAAUUUUGGACAAUGGGCGCAAGCCUGAUCCAGCAAUGCCGCGUGCAGGAUGAAGGCCUUCGGGUUGUAAACUGCUUUUGUACUGAACGAAACGGCUCUGUCUAAUACAUGGGGCUAAUGACGGUACCGUAAGAAUAAGCACCGGCUAACUACGUGCCAGCAGCCGCGGUAAUACGUAGGGUGCAAGCGUUAAUCGGAAUUACUGGGCGUAAAGCGUGCGCAGGCGGUUAUGCAAGACAGAUGUGAAAUCCCCGGGCUCAACCUGGGAACUGCAUUUGUGACUGCAUAGCUGGAGUGCGGCAGAGGGGGAUGGAAUUCCGCGUGUAGCAGUGAAAUGCGUAGAUAUGCGGAGGAACACCGAUGGCGAAGGCAAUCCCCUGGGCCUGCACUGACGCACAUGCACGAAAGCGUGGGGAGCAAACA
rnacentral:rRNA from 1 species